rnacentral:rRNA from 1 species
AAGUCUGGUGCCAGCAGCCGCGGUAAUUCCAGCUCCAAUAGCGUAUAUUAAAGUUGUUGCAGUUAAAAAGCUCGUAGUUGAAUUUCGGGGUUAGUAGGUUGGUCAUGCCUCUGGUAUGUACUGGUCUCACUGAUUCCUCCUUCCUUAUGAACCGUAAUGCCAUUAAUUUGGUGUUGCGGGGAAUUUGGACUGUUACUUUGAAAAAAUUAGAGUGUUUAAAGCAAGCUAACGCUUGAAUACAUUAGCAUGGAAUAAUGAGAUAGGACGUUCGAUCUUAUUUUGUUGGUUUCUAGGAUUGACGUAAUGAUUAAUAGGGAUAGUUGGGGGCAUUAGUAUUCAAUUGUCAGAGGUGAAAUUCUUGGAUUUAUUGAAGACUAACUACUGCGAAAGCAUUUGCCAAGGAUGUUUUCAUUAAUCAAGAACGAAAGUUAGGGGAUCGAAGACGAUCAGAUACCGUCGUAGUCUUAACCAUAAACUAUGCCGACUAGGGAUCGGAUGAUGUUAAUUUUUUAAUGACUCAUUCGGCGCCUUACGGGAAACCAAAGUGUUUGGGU